rnacentral:rRNA from 1 species
CGCCUCUUGCAAAAAUCAAUGUAUAAGAGGUCUUACCUGCCCAGUGACAAUAAGUUUAACGGCCGCGGUAUUCUGACCGUGCUAAGGUAGCGCAAUCACUUGUCUUUUAAAUGAAGACCUGUAUGAAUGGUCGAACGAGGGCUUAGCUGUCUCCCUUUUUAGGUCAAUGAAAUUGAUCUGCCCGUGCAGAAGCGGACAUAAAAAUACAAGACGAGAAGACCCUUUGGAGCUUAAGACACAAGGUCAACUAUGUCAAAGAUUACUAUUAACGGAAACAAAACAAAAUACCAAUUGACCGAAGUCUUCGGUUGGGGCAACCGUGGGGGAAAAUGAAGCCCCCACAUGGAUUGGGCUAAGACUUAAAACCACGAGGAACACCUCUAAGUCACAGAAUAUCUGACCAAAAGAUCCGGCACUUAAGCCGAUUAACGAACCAAGUUACCCUAGGGAUAACAGCGCAAUCCCCUCCAAGAGUCCAUAUCGACAAGGGGGUUUACGACCUCGAUGUUGGAUCAGGACAUCCUAAUGGUGCAGCCGCUAUUAAGGGUUCGUUUGUUCAACGAUUAAAGUCCU